rnacentral:rRNA from 1 species
UGGGGAAUAUUGGACAAUGGGCGCAAGCCUGAUCCAGCCAUGCCGCGUGAGUGAUGAAGGCCCUAGGGUUGUAAAGCUCUUUCACCGGUGAAGAUAAUGACGGUAACCGGAGAAGAAGCCCCGGCUAACUUCGUGCCAGCAGCCGCGGUAAUACGAAGGGGGCUAGCGUUGUUCGGAUUUACUGGGCGUAAAGCGCACGUAGGCGGACUAUUAAGUCAGGGGUGAAAUCCCGGGGCUCAACCCCGGAACUGCCUUUGAUACUGGUAGUCUUGAGUUCGAGAGAGGUGAGUGGAAUUCCGAGUGUAGAGGUGAAAUUCGUAGAUAUUCGGAGGAACACCAGUGGCGAAGGCGGCUCACUGGCUCGAUACUGAUGCUGAGGUGCGAAAGCGUGGGGAGCAAACAGG